GGGCCCGCACAAGCGGUGGAGCAUGUGGUUUAAUUCGAUGCAACGCGAAGAACCUUACCUACUCUUGACAUCCAGAGAAUUUGCUAGAGAUAGCUUAGUGCCUUCGGGAACUCUGAGACAGGUGCUGCAUGGCUGUCGUCAGCUCGUGUUGUGAAAUGUUGGGUUAAGUCCCGCAACGAGCGCAACCCUUAUCCUUUGUUGCCAGCGAGUAAUGUCGGGAACUCAAAGGAGACUGCCGGUGAUAAACCGGAGGAAGGUGGGG
rnacentral:rRNA from 1 species